CCUACGGGGGGCUGCAGUAGGGAAUCUUCGGCAAUGGACGAAAGUCUGACCGAGCAACGCCGCGUGAGUGAAGAAGGUUUUCGGAUCGUAAAACUCUGUUGUUAGAGAAGAACAAGUGGGAGAGUAACUGUUCCCACCUUGACGGUAUCUAACCAGAAAGCCACGGCUAACUACGUGCCAGCAGCCGCGGUAAUACGUAGGUGGCAAGCGUUGUCCGGAUUUAUUGGGCGUAAAGCGAGCGCAGGCGGUUCUUUAAGUCUGAUGUGAAAGCCCCCGGCUCAACCGGGGAGGGUCAUUGGAAACUGGAGAACUUGAGUGCAGAAGAGGAGAGUGGAAUUCCAUGUGUAGCGGUGAAAUGCGUAGAUAUAUGGAGGAACACCAGUGGCGAAGGCGACUCUCUGGUCUGUAACUGACGCUGAGGCUCGAAAGCGU
rnacentral:rRNA from 1 species